AUUUAAAUAGUUUAAUUUUAAAAUUCUAAUUUGUGGUGUUAGGGAUGCUAGGUAGAGGCUUUAAAUU
rnacentral:tRNA from 1 species